UACGUAGGGGCCUAGCGUUGUCCGGAUUUACUGGGCGUAAAGAGCUCGUAGGUGGUUUGUCGCGUUGUUCGUGAAAACUCACAGCUCAACUGUGGGCGUGCGGGCGAUACGGGCAGACUGGAGUACUGCAGGGGAGACUGGAAUUCCUGGUGUAGCGGUGGAAUGCGCAGAUAUCAGGAGGAACACCGGUGGCGAAGGCGGGUCUCUGGGCAGUAACUGACGCUGAGGAGCGAAAGCGUGGGGAGCGAACAGG
rnacentral:rRNA from 1 species